rnacentral:sRNA from 1 species
UUUCUCAUCGUCUUCUUCAUCAUCUUCUUCUUC